rnacentral:rRNA from 1 species
CGCUUAAUGAUAAUAAUUUUAGGUCUGGUCUGCCCAAUGAUUAAAAUUAAAUGGCCGCGGUAUAUUGACCGUGCAAAGGUAGCAUAAUCAUUAGUUUUUUAAUUGAAAGCUUGAAUGAAAGGCUUGAUGAAAAAGUUUCUGUCUUUUUCCAAGUUUGUUAGAAUUUUAUUUUUAGGUUAAAAAGCCUAGAUUUAUAUAGAAGACGAGAAGACCCUAUAGAGUUUUAUAUUUUUAUUUAAGAUGGAGUUUUGGGGUAAUAGAAUUUUACUUACAUGAAAGUAUUUUGUUGGGGUGAUAGAAAAAUUUUAGUAACUUUUUUUAAAAGGGGAACACUUGUUUGUGAAAAAUUUUGAUCCUAUAGUUUAGAUUAUAAGAUUAAAUUACCUUAGGGAUAACAGCGUAAUUUCUUUUAGAGUUCUUAUCAAAAAGGGAGAUUGCGACCUCGAUGUUGGAUUAAAAUGAAUUAUAGGUGAAGAAGCUAUAAGAUUAGGUCUGUUCGACCUUUAAAAUUUUACAUGAUCUGAGUUUAAACCGGUGUGAG